rnacentral:rRNA from 1 species
AAGUGCGAAUGCUGACAUAAGUAACGAUAAAACGGGUGAAAAACCCGUUCGCCGGAAGACCAAGGGUUCCUGUCCAACGUUAAUCGGGGCAGGGUGAGUCGGCUCCUAAGGCGAGGCUGAAAAGCGUAGUCGAUGGGAAACAGGUUAAUAUUCCUGUACUUGGUAAAGCUGCGAUGUGGGGACGGAGUAGGUUAGGUUAUCGCACUGUUGGAUAUGUGCGUUUAAGUUGGUAGGUGGGAAGUUUAGGCAAAUCCGGGCUUCCUUAACACAGAGAGAUGAUGACGAGGCUCUACGGAGCUGAAGUAACUGAUACCACACUUCCAGGAAAAGCCACUAAGCGAAAGGCUUUACUAAACCGUACUGAAAACCGACACAGGUGGUCAGGUAGAGAAUACUCAGGCGCUUGAGAGAACUCGGGUGAAGGAACUAGGCAAAAUAGCACCGUAACUUCGGGAGAAGGUGCGCCGGCGUAGAUUGUAAGGGCUAGCCCCUGAAGGUUGAACCGGUCGAAGAUACCAGCUGGCUGCAACUGUUUAUUAAAAACACAGCACUCUGCAAACACGAAAGUGGACGUAUAGGGUGUGAUGCCUGCCCGGUGCUGGAAGGUUAAUUGAUGGUGUAAUCGCAAGAGAAGCACCUGAUCGAAGCCCCAGUAAACGGCGGCCGUAACUAUAACGGUCCUAAGGUAGCGAAAUUCCUUGUCGGGUAAGUUCCGACCUGCACGAAUGGCAUAAUGAUGGCCAGGCUGUCUCCACCCGAGACUCAGUGAAAUUGAAAUCGCCGUGAAGAUGCGGUGUACCCGCGGCUAGACGGAAAGACCCCGUGAACCUUUACUAUAGCUUGACACUGAACAUUGAAUUUUGAUGUGUAGGAUAGGUGGGAGACUUAGAAGUAGUCACGCCAGUGAUUAUGGAGUCGACCUUGAAAUACCACCCUUUAACGUUUGAUGUUCUAACGAAGAUGACGAAACGUGGUCUCGGACAGUGUCUGGUGGGUAGUUUGACUGGGGCGGUCUCCUCCCAAAGCGUAACGGAGGAGCACGAAGGUUUGCUAAUCACGGUCGGACAUCGUGAGGUUAGUGCAAUGGUAUAAGCAAGCUUAACUGCGAGACAGACAAGUCGAGCAGGUACGAAAGUAGGUCAUAGUGAUCCGGUGGUUCUGAAUGGAAGGGCCAUCGCUCAACGGAUAAAAGGUACUCCGGGGAUAACAGGCUGAUACCGCCCAAGAGUUCAUAUCGACGGCGGUGUUUGGCACCUCGAUGUCGGCUCAUCACAUCCUGGGGCUGAAGUAGGUCCCAAGGGUAUGGCUGUUCGCCAUUUAAAGUGGUACGCGAGCUGGGUUUAGAACGUCGUGAGACAGUUCGGUCCCUAUCUGCCGUGGGCGU